CGGGACUGGCGGGGCUCGAACCCGCAG
rnacentral:tRNA from 2 species